rfam:Sphingobium japonicum BiD32, WGS project CAVK01000000 data, contig: 150
GCCGGAUUAGCACAGUGGUAGUGCAGCGGUUUUGUAAACCGAAGGUCGCGGGUUCAAAUCCUGCAUCCGGCA